rnacentral:rRNA from 1 species
AUACGGAGGGUGCGAGCGUUAAUCGGAAUUACUGGGCGUAAAGCGUACGUAGGCGGUUGGUUAAGUUAGAUGUGAAAGCCCCGGGCUUAACCUGGGAACUGCAUUUAAAACUGGCGAACUAGAGUUGAGUAGAGGGGAGUGGAAUUUCAGGUGUAGCGGUGAAAUGCGUAGGGAUCUGAAGGAACACCAGUGGCGAAGGCGACUCCCUGGACUCGAACUGACGCUGAGGUACGAAAGCGUGGGUAGCAAACGGGAUUAGAUACCCCAGUAGUCC